rnacentral:rRNA from 1 species
UUGUAGGGAACGUGAAAGGACCGACCUUCGGGAGCCUAUACAGGUGUUGCAUGGCUGUCGUCAGCUCGCGUCGUGAGAUGUUCGGUUAAGUCCGCUAACGAGCGCAACCCUCGUCGUAUGUUAUAUGUGUCAUACGAGACUGCCGGUAAAAAGCCGGAGGAAGGUGAGGAUGAUGUCAAGUCAGCAUGACCUUUAUAUCCAGGGCUACACACACGCUACAAUGGUCUGUACAAUGGGUAGCCAAGCCGCGAGGCGGAGCCAAUCCUGAAAGCAGGCCUCAGUUCAGAUUGCAGUCUGCAACUCGACUGCAUGAAGCCGGAGUUGCUAGUAACCGCAGGUCAGCAAUACUGCGGUGAAUACGUUCCCGGGUCUU